rnacentral:rRNA from 1 species
UGGCCCUAGUAACGGCGAGUGAAAGCGGCAACAGCUCAAAUUUGAAAUCUGGCGUCUAAGGCGUCCGAGUUGUAAUUUGCAGAGGGCGCUUUGGCAUUGGCAGCGGUCCAAGUUCCUUGGAACAGGACGUCACAGAGGGUGAGAAUCCCGUACGUGGUCGCUAGCCUUUACCGUGUAAAGCCCCUUCGACGAGUCGAGUUGUUUGGGAAUGCAGCUCUAAAUGGGAGGUAAAUUUCUUCUAAAGCUAAAUACUGGCCAGAGACCGAUAGCGCACAAGUAGAGUGAUCGAAAGAUGAAAAGCACUUUGGAAAGAGAGUUAAAAAGCACGUGAAAUUGUUGAAAGGGAAGCGCUUGCAGCCAGACUUGCCUGUAGUUGCUCAUCCGGGUUUUUACCCGGUGCACUCUUCUAUAGGCAGGCCAGCAUCAGUUUGGGCGGUUGGAUAAAGGUCUCUGUCACGUACCUCCUCUCGGGGAGAACUUAUAGGGGAGACGUAAUGCAACCAGCCUGGACUGAGGUCCGCGCAUCUGCUAGGAUGCUGGCGUAAUGGCUGUAAGCGGCCCGUCUUGAAACACGGACCAAGGAGUCUAACAUCUAUGCGAGUGUUUGGGUGUCAAGCCCGAGCGCGUAAUGAAAGUGAACGGAGGUGGGAACCUUUCGGGGUGCACCAUCGACCGAUCCUGAUGUCUUCGGAUGGAUUUGAGUAAGAGCAUAGCUGUUGGGACCCGAAAGAUGGUGAACUAUGCUUGAAUAGGGUGAAGCCAGAGGAAACUCUGGUGGGAGGCUCGCAGCGGUUCUGACGUGCAAAUC